CCCUGGUGGCUCAGAGGUUAAAGCAUCUGCCUGCAAUGCAGGAGACCCGGGUUCGAUCCCUGGAUCAGGAA
rnacentral:tRNA from 1 species